CCUACGGGAGGCAGCAGUGAGGAAUAUUGGUCAAUGGACGAGAGUCUGAACCAGCCAAGCAGCGUGAAGGAUGACUGUCCUAUGGGUUGUAAACUUCUUUUAUAUGGGAAUAAAACGUUCCACGUGUGGGUGUUUGUAUGUACCAUAUGAAUAAGGAUCGGCUAACUCCGUGCCAGCAGCCGCGGUAAUACGGAGGAUUCGAGCGUUAUCCGGAUUUAUUGGGUUUAAAGGGAGCGUAGGUGGGUUGUUAAGUCAGUUGUGAAAGGUUGCGGCUCAACCGUAAAAUUGCAGUUGAAACUGGCAGUCUUGAGUACAGGAGAGGUGGGCGGAAUGCGUGGUGUAGCGGUGAAAUGCUUAGAUAUCACGAAGAACUCCGAUUGCGAAGGCAGCUCACUGGACUGCAACUGACACUGAGGCUCGAAAGUGUGGGUAUCAAACAGGAUUAGAUACCCUGGUAGUC
rnacentral:rRNA from 1 species